ensembl:lncRNA
CAGACGGUAAAGCAUCUGUCUACAAUGCAGGAGACCUGGAUUCGAUAUUGUGACAUGUCAUUUUAUUUAUAAUUAUGUGCAUACUGAGAUUAAUAUAUGAGAAAAUCAUAACCUUAAUUCCAGGAUCUGUGUUGGCAACAGAGAACCCAGGGUGCUACUCUUCUCAGGGCUGUCUCCAUCCAAUGACUCCACAAGGCAGGGUGUAAGUGGACAAUCAUCUUGGCCCAAGUUUCUCUCAGGAAACAGGUCCAUCAAAAUCCCCGAGAAUCUGCUGCCAGAACAAGUGGAGAAGGAGAUCCAGAGGGACUAUGAUAGACUCAGAAAUGAGCUGCCCAUAUCCUUCUUCCAGGAAUGAAUUUCCGCCUUGCUGUAGGAAGCAAUCAAGAGUAUAAAGCCUCAAAUCACUGGCUUCUUCAGAGUUUGCCUCAACUGCAGACAGCCAGGGCCUCACUCUUCCUGGAAAAACUGGCAGACAAUGACUGAGCAAGUUGGGAGGAUAUUUCUGCAUAAUUCAGAAUUCCUCUGAUGGUCAAUAUUUGCUCUGGAGCUCCACAAAGUUGGCAGAGAUCAUCCCAGACUUGUAUCAUGAUCUGAAAUCUCCCCUUCCCCAAUCUUGCUUUCUCCCCCUUCCCUUUCUUUCAUAGAUGUUUUGAUAUCUAGGGACUUGCUUCUAGGGAACACAACCAGUGGCAUUCACCCUUUCUCCCACUUACAUGUAACAGGGCCUCUAACUUUGCCUCCUCACCUCUUAUGUUAGUAGCACAAGAAAUGGGAGUGGUGGCCAGCAGCAUAGAGAUCUGAUGGUCAGAGUAUGAGGUAGUGGGAAAGGGCAGAAAUAAAAUUAUUUCAGUGCUUUUUCACUUUUCUUCUCAGCCCUGAGAUACAGGUCCCAUCAUUAAUGGCAUUAGACACAUCCACAGCUCGACGUACAGUCAGUUUGAUGUACAGUAUACCUUGCUGCUUAUGGUAAUAGACAAAUCUUCAAGAAAUAAAAUGUUCUGAGGGUACUGAUUAUUAAAGGUAUUUAAAAAUAAC